rnacentral:rRNA from 1 species
UUUUNNNCCACUUGGACGAGCUNGAUCACUAGNUACGGCCGCCAGNUGNUGCUGGAAUUCGCCNCUUCUCCGCGAUGAUCCGUGCAGGACCAUGACUGCUUAUCGGCAUUGUCUACGUAAUGCCAUGCAGAGUCAUCUGUAGUCAAUACUAGGCUGGAGCGGCUCUAUAUAACUUCGUAGUCCAGCUAACUCGCUGCACGCGUGAUCAGCUACGGGAAACGUGAGAAUAAACCGUGAUACAUCAUUAUGCCUGUGAAUGGUUUAUGGGCCUGACAGUUUACUGCCAUGGGAUGGGACUGCGGCCUAUCAGCUUGUUGCUGAGGUAGUGGGCCACCAGGGCUAUAACAGGUACGGGCUCUGAGAGGAGAAGCCCGGAGAUGGGUACUGAGACACGGACCCAGGCCCUAUGGGGCGCAUCAGGCCAGAUACCUUAGCUAUGUGCGAUAGCUCUACUGGCUCAGUCCGAGUGAUUCCUGAUAAAGGAGUCUUUUAUCUGUCCUAAAAGCACAGGUCGAUAAGGUGUGGGCAAGUCUGGUGUCAGCCGCCGCGUGAAUACCAGCACCUCGAGUGGUCAGGAGGCUUAUUGCUGCCUAAAGCAUCCGUAGCCGGCUACGCAAGUCUCCGGUUAACUCCAGCUGCUCAACAGAUGGCCUGCCGGAGAUACUACAUACCUAGGGAGCGGGAGAGGUCUCCGCUAUUCUUUGGGUAGGCGUAAAAUCCGCUGACCCAUCGAGGUUCCCCAGUGGAGAAGGCGCUGUGCCAGCACGCCUUUUACUGUGAGGGAUGUCAGUCGGGGGACCAACCCGGCUUAGCUCUCCGGGUAUUCCCAUCUGUUAUCGAGGCAAACUCGAUGAGGCUUUCACUUAUGCCCAAUGCACAUGCUGCAGGCAAGCCUUUAACUUUCCCGCCUGGGAAGUACGUACGCAAGUCUGAAACUUAACAGGAAUUGGCGGGUGAGCA